ensembl:lncRNA
GUUCAUAACAGUUUCAUUAUACACAAAAUAUUCAGUUAACUUAAUAUGUUGUGAGUUUGGUUUUAUUAUAUUAUUUAAUAUAUCCAUGUUAUUUUCAUAUUUCCUUUAUUAUCUUUCAAUCAUUUAUUAUAAUAGUCCCUUUUAGUUUCUCUUAAAAUUGUCGUCAAUUUAUUUUUGUAUGCUUUGUAUUUGGCCUCACAAUUAGCUGUCCUAUUUUUUACAAAGUCUUUAUACAUAUGAUAUUGUUUAAGCAACAACACACACACAAUACUAAUAAUUAUUAGCAUUUUUACGUUUACAUUUGUAUGCAGUUGCAUAUUAACACUGCAUUCAGCCAGGUAUGAAUAUUAGAGAACAACAUGAAUACCAUUGUCUGCAUGUAUGUGUACUGAUGCUUUGAAAACAUUAGACUAUACCAAUAAAGUAGCCUAAUAACAAUGACGUUGAACUGAAUAAAUGAAUUAAUAAAACAAAAGCAUUUCCUUAAGCACAUUAAAGUUUAGCACAACAUACAUUUUUUAUUUCAAAAUCAAAUAAACAAUACAUAUUCCAUGUCGUACAUUUCAGCAACGCAAUUUCAUUCGAACUGCGCAAUCAGGGCGCAGCUUUAACGCAAAAAAACUGUCGUGACCAAACACGGAAGUAGUUCAAAGAAACUCCCGCGUAGUUUUCAUCGUUCGGAUAAGCCAUGUGCGUUUGAUGGGGAUGCAGUGUGUUUACAACCGAAUGACUGCGAUGUCUAAACUAAAGAGGAAGAAAUCAGCGAUUGAGGAGAGUAAAUGCGAGCAGCAGACGACGAAGAAAAAGUCAAAUGGCAGUCUGAGUUCAGAACAGGACAGCAGCUGCAGCAAAACAUCUACAGUCAGGGCGAGAUGGUGGGAGAGUUCUGAAUUAAGUGACGUGGAGAAACUCUGGGCUCUUACCUUGAGAGCUUUUUGCCCAGCCCUGCAGUCUGAUCAGGAAGAAUGUAUUCCACAGCUCCCCCCACCCUCAUCCACGAAAACUCCUGUACAAAAAGUAAGUGAUUGGAGGGGGUGUAGUGCAGAUGAAGAUGUUAAUCUCCCUCCAGAUUUGCCUGCUCCGUCUUUCCUCAACAACCCACAACCAGUGAAUGAGGUCAAGAACCCCUCACAACCUCCAGCAGCAGAGAACAUGGGAGAAUGUAGUCCACCAACCAACGCUGAUCAAGAGAAUCAUGCAUAUUCACCUGAUCAGGAGAGUGUGUCAGUAUGUGACGUACAAACUGCUCAGCAGCGCCACCUAGAAGACAAAGUCAGUUGCGUUGAGGGUCAUGUUUUGUCAGACGAACAGAGUGACAAAUUUGACCAAGUGGGGAAAGUCUCAGAAAGGCAAGAAGUCACAAGAGGAUCUGAAGCAGGAUUGGAUGUGCAGUCUGGAGCAGGGAAAGGGGCAAAAACAGGUGCAGGAGGAUCUGGAUCAUGGUUAAGAACAAUAUCUGAAGCAGAAGUAUCGGUAUCAGGCAUGGGAACAAAACAAGGAGCAGGUGGAUCUGGAUCAGGACAGAAAGCAAAAUCUGGAGCAGGAGGGUAUGGAGCAGGUCAGCGAGCAAAAUCAGGAGUAAGAGGAUCUGGACUGGUGCUGGGAGCAAAAUCUGGAGUGGGAUUGGAUGCAGAAUCUGGACUAGGGAAGGGGGUAAAAACAGGUGCAGGAGGAUCUGGAUCACGGCUAAGAACAAUAUCUGAAGCAGUUUCAAGCAUGGGAACAAAACACGGAGCAAGUGGAUCUGGAUCAGGGCAGAGAGCAAAAUCAGGGCUAGGAGGAUUUGAGUCAGGGCUGAGAACAAAUUCAAGAGAAAGUGGAUCUGGAUUGGGGCAGGGAACAAAAUCUGGAUUAAAUUUGGGGAAAAAAUCAGGAACAGAAGAAUCUGGAGCGGCAUCUGGAUCAGGACUUGGAAAAAAAUUAAUAGCAGAAGGAUCCGGAACAGCAACUGGAACAGGACUGGGAACAAAAUCAGGAGCAGAAGGAUCUAGAGCAGCAUCUGGAUCAGAACUGGGAACAACAUCAGGAACAGUAGGAUCUGGAGCAGCAUCUGGAUCAGGACUGGGAACAACAUCAGGAACAAAAGGAUCUGGAGCAGCAUCUGGAUCAGGACUGGAGUGCUGCCCAAUGUGUCUGAUGCCAUUUCCUGCAGGGUUCACCCAAAUGCAAUGUGAUGGUCAUCUUGCACAAUGUCUAUCAGAGAUCAAUGAAGAUAUUAUUUGGUGAUGAUGAGGAAAUUCUGUUAUAUUAUUUUAGAUACUUGUUUUCCUUUAUAAGCUUGCAAAGUAUUACUUUAAUGUUCUGAUUACUGUAAACAGAAGGCCCUGGAAAGGAAUAGAAGGUUUGCUGAAAAUGUACUCGCCCUCAGGCCAUCCAAGAUGUAGAUCAAUUAGUUUCCUUAUCAGAGCAGAUUUGGAGAAAUGUAGCCAUACAUCUAUUGCUCAUCAAUGGCUCCUCUGCAGUGAAUGGGUGCCGUCAGAAUGAGAGUCCAAACUUCUGAUAAAAGCAUCACAACAAUUCACAAGUAAUCCACACAAUUCAAGUCCAUCAAUUAAUGUCUUGUAAAGUGAAAAGCUGCGUGUUUGUAAUUAACAAAUCCAUCAUUACACGGUUUUAACUUCUGGUCCAUAGUUCACAAUAACACUUCCUCCAGUGAAAAAAAGUCCAUCCCCUGUUGUCAUCUUACAUCAAAACCCCACUGACAUACUUAUUAAGAACUAUUUUAGAUGGUUUUCACUCGGGUCAAACUGUGUUUGAUCUGUGCAUAUUUCUCUCCUGAUUCAGAGAUUACCUUUUCUCUGGAAAAAGCAAUAAUAUGGAUAAAGAGCCUGGUUUGAAAUUAAAAACUUAUUAAAUAUGGACUUAUUACAAACACACAACUUGUGUAUUACUCGCAUUACUUGCAGAUUUUUGUGAUGUUUUUAUCAGCUGUUUAAACUCAUUCUGAAAGCACCCAUUCACUGAAGAGAAUAGUGAGCAAGUGAUGUAAUGCUAAACUUCUCAGAAUCUGUUGGGAUGAAGAAACAAACUUGGAUGGCCUUUUCACUUUCGGGUGAACUAUUCCUUUAAAUACUUCUUAUAAGAUAUGAUUGGUAAAUAUGCAUUGUGCAAUAAAGACAGUGCUCUCUCAAAGACCA